rnacentral:rRNA from 1 species
UUUACGAGGUCAGGACACUGUGAGGAUUGACAGAUUGAAAGCUCUUUCUUGAUUCAGUGGGUGGUGGUGCAUGGCCCGUUCUUAGUUGGUGGAGUGAUUUGUCUGGUUAAUUCCGUUAACGAACGAGACCUUAACCUGCUAAAUAGUCACGCGAACCGGUCCGCAAGGGCUCAAAGUUCGCGGCUCGACUUCUUAGAGGGACUAUUCGCACCCGCCAGCGAAUGGAAGUUUGAGGCAAUAACAGGUCUGUGAUGCCCUUAGAUGUUCUCGGCCGCACGCGCGUUACACUGACGGAGUCAACGAGCGUUUUUCCUUGCCCGAUAGGGUUGGGUAACCUCCCGAACUCCGUCGUGAUGGGGAUAGAUCAUUGCAAAUUAUUGAUCUUGAUCGAGGAGUACUCCGGAUGGUCGAGUCAUCAACUCGCGGUGACGAGUACCCGGACUUUACGACGACCCCGGAUUU